rnacentral:tRNA from 1 species
GGUCUGUUAGUGUAGCGGUCAACACGUCCCCCUGUCACGGGGAAGAUCAUGGGUUCGAAUCCCAUACAGACCGCCA